rnacentral:lncRNA from 1 species
AAACCUGAUGGAUAUUGUCAGGGGUUCAGGAGCAGAGGCACAGGAAAGGGAGGAAAUAGAGAGCGAGGGGGAGGAGUCCGAAGGAAAUGUUAGCGAUGACAGCGGUCCGAGGUCUCUGAGUCUUUCCAGCGAAUCGGAAGAUUCACAGAAAGGGGCUCCCUUGGUCAGAGCAAGGGGGUGCCGAGGGGGACACCCCAGGAAGAAGGGGCCAGAGGGGACUCAGAGAGCAGCAGUUGGAAAUCAGGACCAGCGUCCACACCAGAGUGCAGUAGGGGGGAGGGGUCCCAGGCAUCGGGAUCAGGCGGCGCACUGCCAGUGGGAGGACAUGAGUCAGGAUUGGCCACGCCUCCAUCGGGGAGCGAGGAAACGGUCGAGAGGAAGGUUGAAGGCUGGGCGCGCGCGCCAAGUUCAAAUGUACAGGAGGGCGGCGCAGUUGGCAGCCCGGAUAGGGAGCCAGGUCCCAAAGCCCGCCGAAAAGAGGGGGAGGACACAGGGGGGUCAACGUCAGCGUCAGAAGAAUCCAGGAAGGAAGCCACCCCGGGGGCUAGCAGGACCCAGAGGAGAAAGGAGAGACGUAAGAGGUGGAGUAAGGCUAGAAUCUUAAACUGGUGUACAGGGGCGGAGACUCAGAUGGAGCUUCGCCGAUCUAACCCCUAGACGUAGAGCUGGGGCGCUGCGGCUUGAAAAUGGAAACUGUACUUCAAUAAAGACUUUUGUACAUUACUGCCGGCUAGCGUUGGUCCUCUGUGAGCUGGGACCUGGAGCCAGCUCUGACAGUAAGCUCCAUCUCUAAAAGUUUUGCACCAAAAACCUCGUAACGUGAGUGGACGCAGCGAGGGAAGAAGAUUGGUGCUUCGCGAGCUCACAAAAGUCAGGCAAGAUGACUACAGAACAGCAACUAGCAGCCCUGCAAAAUGCAGUGACACAACUCAACGCGGAGGUACUCGCAUCCAGGAAAAGGGAAGAGGAAGCGGCUGCCGCCUGCAGGGAUCUCCAAGCCAGGUUGGAAGUGCUUGCUAAGCAGGGGCAACCGGGACCCAAAUCAGAGGGGAUUGGGCUGGGGAAAAGAGGAGGCAGCCUGGUAUCUCAUUUCGAUGGGAAUUUGCAGCAGUACCCUAACUUCCGAGCAGACGUGCUGUUUGCGCUGGAACUGCUGGAUAAAGACUUUAGAGAUGAGCAAGAGAAGGUGGGGUUUAUCUUGUCCCAUUUGCAUGGGGAAGCUAAAGCGUGGCUGCGCAAUCUGUGGAGAGAUAAGGAUCCGGCGCUCCAAAAUGCGGAUGCAUUCAUUAAAGCGAUGGAUUCGUGUUUUUAUCAAAUAUAGACAUUGAUAUCGCCAGAAAAGACAUACAUGGGCUCAAACAAGGCAGAGCCAGUGUAAGGCAGUACCAUUCCCGCUUUUUGCAUUAGUCCAUGCGCUGGGAUGGGAGAAGGAUUCUGCCCCAGCCAGAGACCCUUUUUGGGAAGGCUUGAAUGCAAAUGUGAAAGAUGAGAUUGCAAGGGGGGAGAGACCAAAGAGCACUCAGGAGGUUGUCCGGCGGGCGCUGCAAAUUGGGGUGCGUCUGGAAGAACGUCCAUGGAACAGAGAAGAAGGACGUUGGGGACGUACGCCAGUGAGAGCACCCCCCUCUUUCCCAAGGAUGCAGCGCGUGUGCAAUCCCCACCUCCGCAAGGAGGGGGAGAGCAACCGAUGGAGAUUGGAGGCGCCAGGGCUCAGUCAGCAACCAGAGCCCUAACACCGGGAGCAGUCAAAGCGAAGCCUCCUAGAGGGAACAGGAAGUGCUACAUCUGCGACAGUGCUCAGCACAUGGCGAAAGAGUGUCCCCAGAGGCUCCACAAGCACACUGCAGCCUCAGCAACAGUAACAGACGCAACUCAGCAGAGAGAACCACAGCAGGGAAACGACAGAGUCUGGUUGGAGGAAGAGGCACUGGGGCCCAGCCAGACAAGUCAAUGAAGCCGUCCCCAGAGAUUUUGCAGCCCACAGACCCCUCCCGCCCAAACCAGUGGUGCAGCUCACAGCAUCGCUCCAACUACCCAAUGGACUCACUAUGGAAGUGCCGAUUACCAUUGACUCUGGUAGUAACGCAGACUUCAUAGGACUGGAUUUCAUUCAAGAGCACAACAUAGCACUCCUGCCAGCCACGCUGCCUCUGAAAGUUGUCACGGUGGAUGGCAGGGAAUUGCUGGGGGCAGGUGGUGCAGCAAACGCCUCCGAUGGUGAUGCAAAUUGGGAAUCACCGAGAAGUCAUCAGCUUCAAUGUCACCCAACUGUCGGACACGCCUAUAGUAUUAGGCAUGAGUUGGCUGCACAGGCACAGCCCAGCAUUGGCGUGGUACCAGCGACAACUGACCUUCGGCUCCUCAUACUGUGCGGAACAUUGCAUUCUGCCUAGCCCGGAAGGGGAAGAGGAUGACCCGCAGCUACAAUUAGGCACGCUGCAAGCAGUGCCACUCAAGUACGCAGCGUUUUUGGAGGUUUUCUGCGAGAAGGAAGCGGACAAGCUACCUCCCCACAGGUCCUAUGACUGCAAGAUUGACCUCCUGCCAGGGGCGACGCUGCCAACCGGGAAACUGUAUUCCAUGUCUGAAGACGAGCUGCAGGAACUCAGGGAGUUCAUAGACCUCAACUUGAAGCGCGGUUUCAUCCAGGAGUCGAAGGCAGUGGGGGCAGUCCUGUAUUCUUUGUGAAGAAGAAGGACACGCCCCAAAAGGCUUGUGGUGGACUAUAGAAUUUUGAACUCGAAAACCAAGCCCACAGCCUUUCCCAUGCCCAAGAUAGAUGACCUGCUCGCAACGGUGAGGAAAGGACGCGUUUUCACAAAGUUGGAUCUGCGAGGGGCGUACAACCUGAUUCGCAUACGGGAGGGCGACGAAUGGAAGACUGCCAUGUUCACGCCCUGGGCACCUAUGAAUACAGAGUUAUGCCCUUUGGAUUACAAAAUGGCUCCCACUGUUUUCAAGCCUUCAUGCAUCACGUAUUGGCGGGUCUCCUCUACAAGAAAUGCGUCUGCUUCCUGGACGACAUCCUGAUAUUUUCAGAAUCAGAGGAGACCCACGAGGGAGACGUCAAGGAAGUUCUGCAGAGACUGCAGGAGCACAGGCUGUACGCCAAGCUGGAGAAGUGCCAGUUCGACAUGAAGGAGGUAGAUUUCCUGGGCUACAAGUUGUCGGACAAGGGGCUCGCCAUGGACAGCGCCAAGGUUCGCUCAGUGUUGGACUGGAAGAGCCCGCGCAAUCGGAAGGAGGUCCAGCGGUUUGUCGGUUUCGCCAACUUUUACCGCAAGUUCAUCAAGGGGUUCGCGAUGCAGACGGCGGCCAUUACCGACACGCUCAGCUCCAAGAAGAAGAAGUUCAUCUGGACGGAGCAAGCGGAGCAGUCCUUUCAGAAACUCAAGCGUCUCUUCUCGUCCGAAGAGCAGCUACUGCAUGUGAAUCCCAGCAGACCGAUGAGGGUUGAAACGGACGCCUCAGACAGAGCCGUGGGAGCAGUACUGUUGCAGCAAGACCCGCAUGGGGACUGGAGACCGUGUGCCUUCUACUCCAGGAAGCUCAGCAAGUCAGAGCAGAACUACACCAUCUGGGACAGGGAGUUGCUGGCCAUUCAUGCAGCAUUCAAGGCGUGGCGGCACUUCCUCAUUGGAGCCAAACACACAGUGCAGGUCCGCACGGACCAUAAAAACCUGGAGUACUGGCGCACGGCAAGGUUCCUGAACCAGAGGCACAUACGAUGGGCGGAGUUCUUUGCGGAUUUCGACUUCAGGAUAGAGUACAUCCCAGGCGACAACAACAUCAUGGCGGAUGCACUGUCCAGAAAGCCGCAAUACCUCGAGGAGGCGGCACCAGCAGCGGCCAAGCACAUUUUCGCACCGAAAGCGUGGGCGUGCGCUUCAGCAACCGUGGACCUGGAUGCUGUACGUCGAGCACUGCAGGAGGACCCCUUCGCGCAAGCAAAGAUGGCAGAGGUGCAAAGGGGCACGGCGGAGGACGACGAGUUCCAGAUACGCGACGGAUUGCUCAUCCGCAGAGGGGCCCUCUACGUACCGGGAGACGACCUCCGCGCGAAAGUACUGCAGCAGUUGCACGACGCACCCACCGCCGGGCACUUUGGCAAAGAGAAGACGGUAGAAUUAGUAGCCAGAGAUUUUUGGUGGCCCAAGAUGCGGGGGAAGUCGCGGAUUACGUCUCGAGGUGCGACACCUGCCAAAGGGCCAAGUCAGUGCACAAACCGCCGGCGGGACUGCUCGAACCGCUGCAGACACCGCUCGAACCGUGGGAGAGGGUGGCCCUGGACUUUGUCACGGAUCUACCCAGCUCGAGGGGCAAGACGGCAGUGCUAGUGGUGGUGGACAUGUUCACCAAAAUGGCCCACUUCAUUCCGUGCGCGAAGGUGGCCACGGCGGAACAGACCGCCAAACUGUUCAUAGACCACGUGUUCAGGGUUCACGGUCUGCCACGGUCUAUCCUGUCCGACCGGGGCGACAGUUCAUCUCGAACUUCUGGCAGAAGCUGAUGGGUUUCCUGAACGUCAAGAUCAACCUAGCGUCGGCGAGACACCCGCAGACGAACGGACAAGCGGAGCGAGUCAACGCCAUCAUGCAGCAGUACCUGCGAUGCUACGCAAAUCAGCAGCCGGCAACAUGGGUGGACUACCUGCCGCUCGCUGAGUUCGCCUACAACAACACGAAGCACGUGUCCACGGGGGUGACACCGUUCUUCGCCAACAACGGGAGGCAUCCCAGAACCUUCCCGGGAUUAGCGAGAGCCGGGGAGGGGGAGCCACAGGCAGCGGAAGCCUUAGCAUCAGAGUUGCAGGAGGUUCACGAACAGCUUCGGAGGCAGUUAGAACUAGCAAAGCACGCAUACAAACUGCAGGCUGACAAGCACAGAAGGGUUGGGGAAGACAUACAGGUGGGAGACUGGGUUUGGUUAGCAGCCCAGGCAGUGCCGGCCAGAUCGUUAGCGAAGAAGAAGCUAGGGCAUAAGCAGCUAGGACCCUACCAAGUCGAGGCACAGGUCAAUCCAGUGGCCUUCCGGUUGACACUGCCGGAGGGAUCCAGAAUGCACCCAGUUUUCCAUAGAUCAGUGCUCACGCCCUACAAAGCACCUCAUAGAUUUCAGGAGCCAGGAACGGCACCAGACCCGUUCAGGGAAACGCCCACAAGGGGGUCGCCAAGGCGGGAACCCGUCAACGAAGUCACAGAGAUUUUAGACUCGAGAUGGGGGGAAGAGGGAGUAGAAUAUCUUCUCGCCAGAGAAGGUACCCCGGCCAGCGCCAACAGUUGGGUGCCAGACCAUGCCUUGGACGAACCUCUUCUCAAGGACGAGUUUCAUGCCCUUUUCCCACACAGGCCCAUGCCAGCCGAGUAUUUCGACGACUGGCUUUUCACACCCACAUUUUCAGCUAGCACAUUCCAGGGGUUCACCUCGGACGAGGAACCGGCACUAGAAACACGUUCCCGUGAGUGAACGCACUCGUGGUCAGCCUCAGGCAGAUCCUCUUGUAGGGACAAUCGACAACAGGAGCAGGGGCGCUGGAAGUGGCUGGGGGGUCCUGGGCAGGCAACGUCCCCGGAGGAGACCGGGGAGAGACGGACAUGGACGUGUUGGGGGAGGACCUUGGGUUCGAGCACGGCGGCAAAGAGAUGGAAGCAGAGGAAAUUGAGGUCGGCGAGAGCACGGAGGACGAGCCGGACUUAUCCGGCUGGAUGCACGCCACGGGGACGAACUGUAUCCGGCACUCACCCCCACAACGACGGAGCACCCAGUACCCACACCUGAAGGAGGGGAGGGGGAAGGGGGGCUUCGAGGGGGAUGGAUGUCAGGGGUUCAGGAGCAGAGGCACAGGAAAGGGAGGAAAUAGAGAGCGAGGGGAGGAGUCCGAAGGAAAUGUUAGCGAUGACAGCGGUCCGAGGUCUCUGAGUCUUUCCAGCGAAUCGGAAGAUUCACAGAAAGGGGCUCCCUUGGUCAGAGCAAGGGGGGUGCCGAGGGGGACACCCCAGGACGAAGGGGCCAGAGGGGACUCAGAGAGCAGCAGUUGGAAAUCAGGACCAGCGUCCACACCAGAGUGCAGUAGGGGGGAGGGGUCCCAGGCAUCGGGAUCAGGCGGCGCACUGCCAGUGGGAGGACAUGAGUCAGGAUUGGCCACGCCUCCAUCGGGGAGCGAGGAAACGGUCGAGAGGAAGGUUGAAGGCUGGGCGCGCGCGCCAAGUUCAAAUGUACAGGAGGGCGGCGCAGUUGGCAGCCCGGAUAGGGAGCCAGGUCCCAAAGCCCGCCGAAAAGAGGGGGAGGAGUCAGGGGGGUCAACGUCAGCGUCAGAAGAAUCCAGGAAGGAAGGGACCCCGGGGGGUAGCAGGACCCAGAGGAGAAAGGAGAGACGUAAGAGGUGGAGUAAGGCUAGAAUCUUAAACUGGUGUACAGGGG